rnacentral:lncRNA from 1 species
GAGCUCUCCUGGGCAUGUAUUUUAUUACUCAAACUAUCUCUGACAUUAGGAGGAAUUUACAUAAGGCAGCAAUAGAGCAUCAAAUCCCCAUGAGCCAACUAUUAAAUAUGGCCUUUGGAAUUUACAAUAAUAGGGACAAGGUGGAGAAAGAGGUGAAAACUAAAAGUAAUAGCCAAAAAGUGCUAUUAUUCAUGGCUGCCUUAAGCCCCCUACUGUUAAUGAGACAAUAGUCCCAGUCCACUGAAUAGUUCCUAAUUCAUACACAAUAUUGACCCAAGUCCCUGAAGAUGUUAAUAGUUCAUGGUAUUAGGCUUAAAGGAUGCUUUCUUUUGUAUACCGUUACACGUGGACUCCCAGUAUAUCUUUGCUUUUGAAUGGACUGAUCCAGACAUUCAUGCUGCAUCUCAUCUUACAUGGGCUGUUCUUCCUCAAGGUUUUAGGGACAGUCCCCAUUUCUUUGUCAAUACAUUGGCAAAAGAAUUAAGGAAACUCUAAUUAAAUAAUGGGUCUCUUUAGCAAUAUAUGGAUGAUCUAUUAAUUUCCAGCCCAACCAGGGAAGGCUGUGACAGGAACACAAUCCAGAUUCUUAAUUUUUUUGAGAAGAUGAGGUUAUUGGGUAUUCCUACAAUAAAGCCCAAAUUUCUGUACAAAAGUUUAAAUAUUUGGAGUAUGUGUUAACUCCUGGGGCAAACACCCUGGCCCAGGAGUAAAAAGAGACCGUCUUGGCACUCCAGCCCCCUCAGACUAAGAAACAAUUAAGAAUCUUUCUGGGAAUGGCCAGAUUCUUCUGGAUUUGGAGUCCCAGGUUUGGGCUCAUAGCAAAACCACUCUAUGAAGCUCUAAAAGGGAGUGAUCAUGAGCCUUUGAAUUGGGAUGGAACCUGCCAACAGGCAUUCUUAACCCUAAAAGAAAAAUUGGGAACAGCCCCUGCUUUGUGACUCCCAAACUUAGAAAAAUCUUUCACCCUAUAUGUGGCUGAAAAACAAGGGACAGCUUUGGGUGUUCUAACUCAAAGUCUCGUGAAUAGCCCUAUACCAGUGGCUUACUUUUCUAAACAGCUAGACCAAGUGGUGGCUGGGUGACCAGGAUGCUUUUGAGCUGUGACCACCACCACUCUAUUGGUAGAAGUCAGUAAGUUUACCUUGGGACAACAAUUAGAUGUAAUGACCUGCCCCAUCAAAUACAGGGGAUCCUAGAAGCAAAAGGACACCAAUGUCUAACAGUGGUUCAAUUACUUAAAUGUCAGGUUCUUCUAUGUGACACUGCAGUUGUUACUUUUAAAAUAUGUUGUUUUAAAUCUUGCUACCCUGUUGCUGGACUUCACGUCCCAGUCCCCAACUCAUUCACUCCUGUGUGGAAACUAUGGAACAGAGCUCCUCUAGCAGGCCUGACCUUAAAGAUGAGUCCCUGCCUAACCCCAAUGUUGAGUGGUUUAGAGAUGGAAGUAGCUUUAUUCAUGAGGGAUUAAAAAGGCAAGUUAUGCUGUGGCUAGUCAACAAUAAGUCAUUGAGGCCAAAGCUCUUCCUCCCCAGACUUCUGCUCAAAAAGUGGAAUUGAAUGCUCUAAUUAGGGCCCUCCAACUGGGAAAAGACUUAAGAAUCAAUAUAUUUACUGAUCCAAACAUGGGUUCCUGGUGCUCCAUGCUCACAAGCCAUAUGGAAGAAAAGGGGACUGUUAACAGCCAUAGGAUUCCCCCAUACAACAUCACUCUGAGAUCUUGGAACUUUUAGAUGCUGUCCAACUCCCAAAGGAGAUAACAAUUAUUCACUGCUGAGGACACCAAAAGGGAGACACCUCUAUUAUCAGAGGAAAUGCCCUGGUGGAUAGAGCAGUCAUGGCCACCGCUAAAGGAAGAUCAGUACUGCUGGCUGCUGCACUAAUACCUGAUGCUCCACCCAUGUCAACAGUGCCAUAUUAUACACCUUAGCAAAUUAAAUGGGCAGAACAGAAAGGCUUACAAAAGGAUCCUUCAGAGUGAUUUCUAGAAAUCAAUAAACUCUUUCUCCCUGAGGCUGAGCAAUGGAAAAUAAUUAAGCAUUUCCAUGAUUCCUCACAUUUAGGAUGGGAUUCUGUAUUCAAAUUCGUUUCCCUAAUAUUCUUGGGAAAGGGACUAUUCCAGACUAUAAAAAGGGUCACCAAGACCUGUGAACUGUGUGCUCAUAAUGACCCAGGAAGCCACCCCAUACCCCAAUCCCUACUCAAACCUGUACAACACCAAGGAACAUACCCUAGGCAAGACUGCAAAUAGAUUUCACCCAGAUGCCACCUUACAGGGACUAAAAUAUUUUCUACUAUUUAUGGACACUUUCACUGGGUGGGUAGAAGCUUUCCCUACAAAGACAGAAAAAGCAUUGGAAGUGUCCAAAUUCUUAAAGAAAACAUCCCCAGGUUUGCAUUACCAAAAAGUUUGCCAAGUAAUAACUGACCUUCGUUUACAGCUAAGGUGACUGAGCAUGUUCCCUCAGCCUUAGGCAUUAUCUAUCAUCUUCACUCCUUCUGGUGGCUUCAAUCUUUAGGUAAGGUAGAAAAAAGCAAACCAUGUUCUAAAAAGGACAUUAGCAAAACUGCGUCAGUAGACCUCAGAGGCCUGGGCUUCUCUUCUACCAUAGCCCCUUUGUACAUAACGAUGGCUCCAAAGGGAACCAUAAAACUUAGUCCAUUUGAAAUGACCUAUGGGAGGCUUUUUUUUUUCCUUCAGGCCUCCUGCUUAAUGAAGAGACACAUAGAAUGCUCACAUGUAUUAUCAACUUAGGCCAGGUUCAAAAGGCCCUUCAAGAAUACGGAAAUGAAGUGUUGCCUCCUCCCACAAGGAAAAGAAUUAACUCCAUUAACUCCUUCAUUCAACGAAGAGACUUAAUCUUACUAAAAACUUGGAAAGAAGGAUCCCCUGAGGAACAAUUACAACCCAAAUGGAAGGGUCCUUAUCAGGUGUUAAGUACCCUUAUUGAUAUAGUUUGGAUAUUUGUCCCCAUAGCAAUGCAAGAAUGGCCUAAUAUACCCACUGUGGGUGGCGAGCCACCCAGGUGCCAAGGCAAGAGACCGAGGGCACAAGCUGUUCCAGUAUAAUAAAGAAAAUAUAUAGAAUAAGAAUAGUUAUACUAGAAAUAGAUUAUAGAUAUGAUUAUAUAUGAAUAUUAUUAAUCAUUAGUUUGUAGCAUACUCUUUAUUCCAAUAUUGUAAUAAUCUUUGUUCUACAAUUAUAACCUAGGAAAAACCAGGGCAUACAGAGAUAGGAGCUGAAGGGACACAGUGAGAAGUGACCAGAAGACAAGUGUGAACCCUCUGUUAUGCCUGGACAGGGCCACUAGAGGGUUCCUUGGUCUAGCGGUAGUGCCAGUGCCUGGGAAGGCACCCGUUACUUAGCAGACUGGGAAAGGGGAGAUGGCUUACACUCCUUAUGCUGCCCCCUUGCCUUGUAUCCAAUAAAUAACAGUGCAGCCAGGCAUUCGGGGGCCACUACCGGUCUCCGUGUCUUGGUGGUAGUGGUCCCCUGGGCCCAGCUGUCUUUUCUUCUAUCUCUUUGUCUUGUGUCUUUAUUUCUAUGAUCCCUCGUCUCUGCAUAUGAGGAGAAAAACCCACAGGCCUUGUAGGGCUGGACCCUACAACCCACUGCUGUGAAACUUCAGGACAUCACUAGCUGAGUACACCUAUCCAGGAUGAAACCCAUUUCUUAUGAGUCCCCACAAGUGCAAAAGAAGAACACCAUGACCUAUACCUGUGAAUCUUUGGAGUACCUCCACUACCUAUUUAAAAGAAUCAACACUCAGCCAGAAGUGGUAAUGCGAUGCUGUGAGUGGGAAUAGGAACAUUAAUUUUUCUCUUCUUCCUGAUUGUAUGCUUCUUUUCUAUUGCUUUGGCCACUUGCCUCCUCCUGGGAAAUACCUCUUUCGUCCUUGUUGGGUGUAGAGGCCACUCCAAGGUCCAACCAGACACCAUGCUGCCACUGUUAAUCCUGUUUGCCAUCCUGAUUAACCUAAUCCAGUGUGGUGGGAAUAAAACUCUACGGUAAAUAUUUCAAAAAUCAUAGCAUCAAGGAAUCAUCUUCAUGAUUGCUGCAUUUGUCAUCAACAUCCCCAGGAUAAAGAGUUCCACUUUCUGACACAUCUGGAAAACCUCAUGGCCAUCUCCCUGGACCUCCUAAUUAACCAUAGUGAUCCCUUAGUACCCAGAUCCUUACUUGUUAGGUGGAACUCUUUCCCACUUAAUGGAUUUGACCUAACUGCCCCUGCCACUAUUACCUGGACCUGGGAGAUUGGGUACCUGUACUUCAGGUGUCCUAAUGACACUAUGUUUUGCACUCAUUGUGUUAAUGACACAAAAGUGGAAACUUUCCUGACAUGCUCUGAUCCAAUCCUAGUUGCCAAAUUCCUGAGGUCACAGACAGGUAAAUGGGAUCCCACUUGUAAGUGAGAAAACAACACAUGGUGCUUCCUCCUCGAUCAGAACAUGCAAGGGAAAAAUAACUGUCUAAUCUAGGAAGGUAGGAGUACUGGCUUCUUCUGGAAAACAAGGGAUGUUUGACUACCCCCAUUGGAGCAAGGGAAAUAUAUCUAUAGACACGACUGGGUAACAAAGGAUAGACAUCACAUCUCAUAGGACUUCUAUUUGUGCCCCAACUGGGCUUAU